rnacentral:rRNA from 1 species
GGUUCAGGACGAACGCUGGCGGCGUGCCUAACACAUGCAAGUCGAGCGGGGACAUACGACGGAUUGGAAGUUUCGGACGGAAGAGAAGAUGUAUGUUCUAGCGGCGGACGGGUGAGUAACGCGUGAGCAACCUGUCCUUCACAGGGGGAUAACACAGCGAAAGUUGUACUAAUACCGCAUAAGACCACGGCCGGGCAUCCGGGAGAGGUCAAAGGAGGAAUCCGGUGAAGGGUGGGCUCGCGUCCGAUUAGAUAGUUGGUGAGGUAACGGCCCACCAAGUCAACGAUCGGUAGCCGACCUGAGAGGGUGAUCGGCCACAUUGGGACUGAGACACGGCCCAAACUCCUACGGGAGGCAGCAGUGGGGAAUAUUGGGCAAUGGGGGGAAACCCCCUGACCCAGCAACGCCGCGUGAGGGAAGAAGGUUUUCGGAUCGUAAACCUCUGUCCUUGGUGAAGAGGAAGAGACGGUAGCCAAGGAGGAAGCCCCGGCUAACUACGUGCCAGCAGCUGC